rnacentral:rRNA from 1 species
UAAGUAAGCGGAGGAAAAGAAACUAACUAGGAUUCCCUUAGUAAUGGCGAAUGAACAGGGAUCAGCUCAGUGCCAAAUCGGAAUCACUUGUGGUUCUGAAAUGUGGCUUGAAGGCAGUACCAGUGGCAUCGCGGACGAAAGUCUCUUGGAAAAGAGCGUCAUAGAGGGUGAGAAUCCCGUGAGUCGUUCGCCGUUUGUCACGUACGGUCUGCGUUCUAACGAGUCGCGUUCCUUGGGAUUGGAGCGUAAACGGGUGGUAAAUUUCAUCCAAAGCAAAAUAUAUACUCGAGACCGAUAGCACAAAAGUACCGUGAGGGAAAGGUGAAAAGAACUUUGAGAAGAGGGUUAAAUAGUGCCUGAAAUCGUUGAGAAGGAAGCGGAUGCCGCCGUUGCAUAUGCUGAUUGUAGGAUUGCUGCUCGCUCCUGUCUUCUGCUACUCAUUCACAGACCUGGUCGUGUUGAGCAGUUGUUUGGCAGAUGUUAGUGGUGUUUCCUACUCUCAGUCGUCAGCAUCACUGGCUGAGUGGAAAUAAUCCUUGGAUGCUAAUUGGUUCGCUAUCUGUGAAUUGGUUGCUUCCUUGCGAUACUCACUACUCGGUCAGUGAGGAAGUGCGUUUGCUGGUCAACGAGCUUUCUAACUGUCAUUACCCUGCGCUUUUCGAUUCGUCGAGUGGCCAGGAUGUGGCUUUGAGAUUGUUCGCACUUAGUAAUCGCGAUGCUGGCUUCCAACGGUUGCCUCCGGCCCGUCUUGAAACACGGACCAAGGAGUCUAACGUAUGUGCGAGUGUGUGAGUGGCAAACUUAUACGCGUAAUGAAAGUGAGGCCGUAUGGCCAUGUUGGGGUCACCAACAACCGACCUUGAUCUUCGGUGAAAGGUUUGAGUAUGAGCAUAUCCGUUAGGACCCGAAAGAUGGUGAACUAUGCCUGAGCAGGGUGAAGCCAGGGGAAACUCUGGUGGAGGCUCGUAGCGAUA